CAUUCCUGAGUUCUCUCUACUUCCAGCCCCAGUUGUGCUGUUUCCAUAGGGGUGCAGGACUUCAUAUUGCAGUGAAAAAUGAGCCCACAGUGAGGAAAAACGUAACUGUUUUUUUUUUUAAUUGAAAAAUUAUAAUACAGUUUUUGAACAAAAUACAGUUGCCAGGGGGAGCUCCAUAAGUAAACAGUGCAAGAAUUAAUUAUAUAUUAAAUACAUUCAGUGAUAACCAGCUUUCAUAUGUUAUAAUAGCUUUUCUAUUCAAGCUCUGUGAGAUAGUUGAUAAGUACAAUUCAACUUCCUUAGUCACAGCAGGGAAAAAUAAAGAUGAUGAUAAAAACUUACAUUUGUGACUGUGAAAUUUGCAAAAUAUAAUAAUCAAAUUAAUCGGCAGUCUUCUCUUUGCGUCCACAUUUCGUUCAUGGAAACCAAAGACUACAUGUUCAAAUUUUAACUCAAAUGUAGAGUCAAUAUUAUAUCUUAUAAAUUGUAAGCAGUCUUUCCAAAAGCACCGAGUGACUGAGCACUUCCAAAAAAGAUGACUGAUUGUUUCUGGGUGUUCUUUACACAGCGAGCAGUUAGGAUUAAUAGUUUUACAAUAAUUUAUCAUGUAUUGAUUAGUGGGGUAAAUUCUGUGCAUAACCUUAAAGCAAACAUCUUUCAUUUUAUUAUUAAUCAAAAACUUUUGGAGUACUGUCCAGUCCUUUUUCCAUAAAUUAUCAGAGACAAAGUUCCGCCAAUAGAAAAUAGAACUGGGCAGAGAUUAUAUCUUGCUGAAAAAGGGCAUGUAUUUUUCUGUUAUUUUUACAAGUAGGAGUAAGACAAGCUUUACCAAUAGUGGUGUCAGUUACAGAUAAUAAACACUUUCUUUCAUCAGUGACAGUAUUUUUGAACAGUUCGCAAAUUUCUUUAGUAACAGCAUCAAACACAGUUGCGUAUUCUUUAGGAGGUACAGCAAGGUUGUAUUUCAUAUUGAACUCAUGAUAUCUCAAUAAGUGUCCAUUUCUGUCAAAAAGUUGACCCACUAGUUGGAUAUUCUUGUCAAAAAACCAAUGAGGAUAAAAUAAUGAUUUGUUUUUGUAAAGUAUGUAUUUGUUGUUCCAUAUGUAAAAGCUGUCGCUACCCGAUCCGUCCCGGAAACCCGAUUUAUACUGCGCAUGUGCGCAAAGUACGUCACUUCCGCUACUCGCCAGUGAUUUGCGAGAGACAGCUCAACAGCAAUUCUUUGCCUCAGCCCUGAGCGAUGUAAAACGGAAAGUGACAUGGAUGCUACAGUGUACAAGCAGCUACAAACUUUUCUCCUUAACGGAGUGCUUCCUCCGACAGAAGCAGAUCGCCGUAGAGUGAGGAGGAUGGCGCCCAGUUUCACUACUAAAGGUUCGUACUACUAGCUUAAAACCCGUUGCGCUUCAGUGUCCCGCCCGCGGUACACUUUGAGAUCUGCAUAAGCAAUUUGCUAAAUGUCUGAAACUGCAAACGCGAUUAUACAAACACUAUACGCCGAUGGAAAGCUUAGAUUCUCAUGAAUCCGCCGGUAUAAACCACUUUCAGAUGUGAUUACCACAGCGGGUAAUAUAAACACAUUUGUCCGACAAACAACGAAUAUCCAUCCAUCCGUUCUCUGUACACGGCUUCAACGUACACAGCGCGACUCGCAUUUCGAGAGACAGCAGGUCCGAUUUGUGGCACUGGCAGCGAGCAGUGACACUUUUUGUGGCACCGUCGCGGUGCCACGGUUAAUGCCACUGUUUGGGCGAGAUGCCACUGCCGCAGCGGCAUUUCCAGUGGCCCCUGGAGAUGCCAGCAGAGAUGCCACUGUUUCUUUUUUUGUUUUUGCUCCUGUGUAUAUGCAUGUGUACUAAUUUCUGCCAAUACCUGUAGGAUGACUUUAGGUCCAAAGACAUCCUGCUGUUUCCAGCUUGGAGCAGGCAGGCGGGUAGAACUGACCACUAUCUGCUCUGUGUGAGUGCACUUGGUCUUUCUAACCCUGUUUUUUUUUUUUAUCUGAUAGAAAAUAGCCGAGAUUGAUGUAAUGUGUUUUCAUGGAUGAUGACAACAGCUGUCUAUUGCAGGCUAUAUUGGUAGCUGAGAGACAGAUACUCUUUCUGGACUCACUUCGCCCCGAUGGUUUUGGAGAUGAUCUCUACCGAAUCGUGUUUAGGUUGACACUAAAGAAAUGAAAAAUUGUUCUGGCCUUGUUCAAUGGCCAAGUGGGUAAGCUGUUUUAGAAUGUACCACCAAAAUACCAAUGCCAGUGCCCAAUUUUUGAUUUAGGUUAUAUUGUAUUUGUCUUAAGGGGGAAAUGCCAGCAAUUCGACUGUGGUGGUGCAUUCAGCUGAUGGAGAGAUUCUGCACAGAAGGGCAUGGACAUAGAUUUGCCUUCUGGACAGAAGAAGCAUCCCUUCUCCUCCAGGGACCUCUCCAGCCUAUCUUCAGGGUGCCGAAGGCAACCUCUUCCAAGCCUUUGCCAAGUCCAAUGGAACAGGUGGAAGAGGACAACAAUGAGGCUGAGGCUGACAGGUGCUUCUUGUUGGAGGUAAUGUUUUUAAUUUCCUUUUUCUUUAAACACAUAACUGGACAUAACUGAAUUAGUAAGUACAAUCACAGGCAGCUCCAUCAGGGCAGAAAGAGGCAUUAUUGUGUAGUGAGUGAAGUAAUUGUUAUGAAAAACAUUAUUCAGUAUAUUUUGCAUUUUCAGUGUGUACAUUUCUGCAACUUAAUGUACAAAUUUUGUAUCAUCAUCGUCGGCUCAUCUACAUUUUACAGUUGCCAACAUGUGUCCUUGUGGACAUAUUGCAAGAAGUUGUCCUCAGUGAAGGUGAUGCCGCAAUCUGCAGACUGGCUCUGGUGUGCUCCACUUUCAGAGACCUUGUGUCUACUGAAUAUUUCAGGAGGCAAGCACACUUUAAGUGGCUUCACAGUGUUUGCACAUGGAGCAGAUUCUCUGCAAACUACAGAAAGGAGUACUGUAGAAUGUACACAUUGCGAUCUGCCAAGAAUGUGGAGAGCAAUAUAAAGACAUGCCACGAGGAUAUGUUGGCAGAGGGAAAAGAGGAGAGGUGCGAGCCUUUUAUUCAGAGGAGAGGCACCCAGGCUACUGCAGCCACUUUUGCAGCCAAAUGUGCUGAAAUCAAUCAGUCACUUAGUUCUGUGCUAUUUGUGGUUUACAGAAUUUUUUUUUUGGAUUUUUGGACUUGUGAUUGUGUAAACCUGUAUAAGGUUUACACCUUAUGCAGGUGUUUAAUGUGCUGAGAAAAGAAUGACGACGUCGUCUCGUUUGUCUUCUGGAAACUUCAACAGUUCAUUACUGACGUGUUUUACAAAACACUUGACCAGCAGAGGGUGUGCCGGCCAGCGGUCGAUGACGCUGCAUCGUAUCUUCGGCCUGUCGGCUCUGUUGCUAUAGUAACGGUAGAUGGCGUUCAGGCUGCUAAAUAGCUGAAUGGCUGAUAUCAAUCAGUGUUAACAUGAGAUAAAAUAAACAUAUAUUAAAAAGAGGCUGGUAACACACAAUCACAUACAUGACAACACACACAAAAGAAGUCAUACCAACCAUUAGAAGUACAAAAUGAAGCUCAUGUCAGUGUGUACGUAACUAGUCGUAGAGACCUAUUACAGAAAAUCAGUCGUCGCAGCUCCGGUUGUACAAGCCCACCUCAGUGCUGUCCUUCACACUAGAUCCCACUUGAUCCCACUUGAUCCACACUACAACUGAUGUAACAAUGCCUUUUCUUUUAGUUACCUUUCACCUCUGUUGCCUGUUUUAAUUUAUUUUCCAUUUUAUAAGGGGUUGUUUAUCUUGUCAUUUUUGCGUUAUGUUUCACAGACAAUGGAAGAAUGUAGAGAUGUAGAUUCAUGUUUUUAACAUAGAUGUGGAUUCAUGUAUUUAAAAAAAUUUACGAAAACAAAAGAAAUACUAGCAUCUCUUUCCACUGACAGGGCCCUCUGGUGUGUGUGUGUGUGUGUGUGUGUGUGUGUGUGUGUGUGUGUGUGUGUGUGUGUGUGUGUGUGUGUGUGUGUGUGUGUGUGUGUGUGUGUGUUUUUAUUUAUUUAUGGCCCUAAAAAGCGACUCCUUCCCUGCUGCUUGGUUUCUUUCCUCAGCGCCACGGCACCAGCUCCUCGGAUUUCAGCAUCCAUUGUUUAUUUCUUUUCAUGUUUUGUACAUUAAUAAAUCCCCUUUUAUUUUUGCAAUUAA